rfam:Triticum aestivum genome assembly, contig: Triticum_aestivum_CS42_TGACv1_scaffold_194019_3AL
UAAAUACUUUCUUCGUUCGAAAAUAUUUGUUGCAGAAAUGGAUAUAAAUGGAUGCAUCUAAAACUAAAAUACGUCUACAUAUAUUUAUUCUUCCGACAAGUAUUUCUGGACGAAGGGAGUAUUUG